GGUAAGAGCAUCGAUGGCACAAACCAAGUGGUAAACAAGAUAUUCUCGGAACCCGAAGAGACGCCAGACGACAACGAUAACAUCAUAUUUUACAUCCGGUCCGGUGACCAACCCUCCUGGCUGGCUGUCGUUAGAGAUACUGGUGAAGUGCAAGUUGUUGCAAAGAUGACAUCAGAGACUGCGCAUUACCUGAGCACAGAAAUGUGUGUAGAAAAUCGUCGACAGUAUAAAACGUGCCAAGUUCUUAAAAUUACCAUCUACCACACGUUGAUCACAAACAGUCCGACCAUAGUUCAACUGCACGAAAAUACCGACCGGGAGAAGAUGUUGUGGCACGUGACUGGCACAUGUGACAUCACAUACAAGUGUCACGGAAUGUACACAUGCGCAGAAACACACGACUGCGACUCUUGC